UCGAAGCAACGCGAAGAACCUUACCAGGUCUUGACAUACUCGUGCUAUUCCUAGAGAUAGGAAGUUCCUUCGGGACACGGGAUACAGGUGGUGCAUGGUUGUCGUCAGCUCGUGUCGUGAGAUGUUGGGUUAAGUCCCGCAACGAGCGCAACCCCUAUUGUUAGUUGCCAUCAUUAAGUUGGGCACUCUAACGAGACUGCCGGUGAUAAACCGGAGGAAGGUGGGGAUGACGUCAAAUCAUCAUGCCCCUUAUGACCUGGGCUACACACGUGCUACAAUGGAUGGUACAACGAGUCGCGAGACAGUGAUGUUUAGCUAAUCUCUUAAAACCAUUCUCAGUUCGGAUUGUAGGCUGCAACUCGCCUACAUGAAGUCGGAAUCGCUAGUAAUCGCGGAUCAGCACGCCGCGGUGAAUACGUUCCCGGGCCUUGUACACACCGCCCGUCACACCACGGGAGUUGGGAGUACCCGAAGUAGGUUGCCUAACCGCAAGGAGGGCGCUUCCUAAGGUAAGACCGAUGACUGGGGUGAAGUCGUAACAAGGUACCAGAUCUGCUGAAAAACCAGCUGCGAGUUUCGAG
rnacentral:rRNA from 1 species